GAUGAACGCUAGCGGCAGGCUUAACACAUGCAAGUCGAGGGGUAGAGGUUGCUUGCAACCUUGAGACCGGCGCACGGGUGCGUAACGCGUAUGCAACCUACCUUUUACAGAGGGAUAGCCCAGAGAAAUUUGGAUUAAUACCUCAUAGUAUAUAACCUUCGCAUGUUGGUUAUAUUAAAGUUCCAACGGUAAAAGAUGGGCAUGCGUACUAUUAGCUAGAUGGUAAGGUAACGGCUUGCCAUGUCAACGAUAGGUAGGGGUCCUGAGAGGGAGAUCCCCCACACUGGUACUGAGGCACGGACCAGACGCCUACGGGCGGCAGCAGUGAGGAAUAUUGGACAAUGGGCGCAAGCCUGAUCCAGCCAUGCCGCGUGCAGGAAGAAGCAUCUAUGGUGUGUAAACUGCUUUUGUACAGGAAGAAACACCCCGACGUGUCGGGGCUUGACGGUACUGUAAGAAUAAGGAUCGGCUAACUCCGUGCCAGCCGCCGCGGUAA
rnacentral:rRNA from 1 species